GCUGGGCGUGGUGGUGCGCACCUGUAAUCCCAGCUACUUGGGAGGCUGAGGCAGGUGAAUUGCUUGAACCCGGGAGGUGGAGGUUGCAGUGAGCUGAGAUUGCACCACUGCACUCCAACCUGGGUGACAGAGUGAGACUCUGUUUCAC
rnacentral:SRP_RNA from 1 species